CGGAAAUAUUCAUUCAGUCCCCAGGUCUCGGCUGGGGAACAUCAAAAUUUUGAGGUGAUUUUUUUUUAGUAAGCUAAAGUUAUAUCAAGCAAACAAAAUAAAACAAAAAAACUCUCCACACUCUUACCGGAUACAGCCGUAAAUCCAUAUCCAAAUCCACAAGUUUGUUGUUUUUAUACCCGAUACUCAAAAUGAGUAUUGGGGUAGAUUAGAUUUGUGGUAAAAG